AGUCAGGCUAGUGGUUAUACUCC
rnacentral:miRNA from 1 species